GACGAACGCUGGCGGCGUGCUUAACACAUGCAAGUCGAACGAAGAGCGAUGGAAGCUUGCUUCUAUCAAUCUUAGUGGCGAACGGGUGAGUAACGCGUAAUCAACCUGCCCUUCAGAGGGGGACAACAGUUGGAAACGACUGCUAAUACCGCAUACGAUCCAAUCUCGGCAUCGAGACUGGAUGAAAGGUGGCCUCUAUUUAUAAGCUAUCACUGAAGGAGGGGAUUGCGUCUGAUUAGCUAGUUGGAGGGGUAACGGCCCACCAAGGCGAUGAUCAGUAGCCGGUCUGAGAGGAUGAACGGCCACAUUGGGACUGAGACACGGCCCAGACUCCUACGGGAGGCAGCAGUGGGGAAUCUUCCGCAAUGGACGAAAGUCUGACGGAGCAACGCCGCGUGAGUGAUGACGGCCUUCGGGUUGUAAAGCUCUGUUAAUCGGGACGAAAGGCCUUCUUGCGAAUAGUGAGAAGGAUUGACGGUACUGAUAGAAAGC
rnacentral:rRNA from 1 species